CUGCUCGCUUCGGCAGCACAUAUACUAAAAUUGAAAUGAGACAGAGAAGAUUACCAUGGCCCCUGUGCAAGGAUGACAUGCAAAUUCAUGAAGUGUUCCAUAUUUUU
rnacentral:snRNA from 1 species